AGGGGAUAGCCGUUGGAAACGACGAAUAAUACCCUAUGAAACUAUCACUUCGCAUGAAGCGAUAGUCAAAGUGUUAGCGGUGUAAGAUGGACUUGCGUCUGAUUAGCUAGUUGGUGAGAAAAAGACCCACCAAGGCAACGAUCAGUAGCCGGCUUGAGAGAGUGUACGGCCACAUUGGGACUGAGACACGGCCCAG
rnacentral:rRNA from 1 species